AUGAACGCUGGCGGCAUGCCUAAUACAUGCAAGUCGAACGGACUUGAGGAGAGCUUGCUUUCCGCAAGUCAGUGGCGAACGGGUGAGUAACACGUAGGCAACCUGCCCAUGUACCCGGGAUAACAGACGGAAACGACUGCUAAAACCGGAUAGGUAAGAGGGAGGCAUCUUCCGCUUAUCAAAGCACCCAAGGGUGUGGACAUGGAUGGGCCUGCGGCGCAUUAGCCGGUUGGCGGGGUAACGGCCCACCAAAGCAAUGAUGCGUAGCCGACCUGAGAGGGCGAACGGCCACAUUGGGACUGAGACACGGCCCAAACUCCUACGGGAGGCAGCAGUAGGGAAUUUUCGUCAAUGGAGGGAACUCUGAACGAGCAAUGCCGCGUGAGUGAAGAAGGUCUUCGGAUCGUAAAGCUCUGUUGCAAGAGAAAAACGACAAGCACAGGGAAUGGUGAUUGAGUGAUGGUAUCUUGCGAGGAAGCCACGGCUAACUACGUG
rnacentral:rRNA from 1 species